rnacentral:rRNA from 1 species
UACGUAGGGUGCAAGCGUUGUCCGGAUUUAUUGGGCGUAAAGAGCUCGUAGGCGGCUUGUCGCGUCGGCCGUGAAAACUUGGGGCUCAACCCCAAGCUUGCGGUCGAUACGGGCAGGCUAGAGUUCGGUAGGGGAGACUGGAAUUCCUGGUGUAGCGGUGAAAUGCGCAGAUAUCAGGAGGAACACCGGUGGCGAAGGCGGGUCUCUGGGCCGAUACUGACGCUGAGGAGCGAAAGCGUGGGGAGCGAACAGG